rnacentral:rRNA from 1 species
CACCGGCGGCUCGAGUGGUGGCCACUUUUAUUGGGUCUAAAGCGUCCGUAGCCGGCUUGGCAAGUCCCCUGGGAGAUCUGGCGGCUUAACCGUCAGGCGUCCAGAGGAUACUGCCAGGCUUGGGACCGGGAGAGGUGAGAGGUACCUCAGGGGUAGGGGUGAAAUCUUGUGAUCCCUGAGGGACCACCAGUGGCGAAGGCGUCUCACUAGAACGGGUCCGACGGUCAGGGACGAAAGCUGGGGGCACGAACCGG